rnacentral:rRNA from 1 species
GGUUCGAUCCUGGCUCAGAUUGAACGUUGGCGGGAUGCUUUACACAUGCAAGUCGAACGGCAGCACGGACUUCGGUCUGGUGGCGAGUGGCGAACGGGUGGGUAAUGUAUCGGAACGUGCCUAGCGGGGGAUAACUACGCGAAAGCGUAGCUAAUACCGCAUACGCCCUUCGGGGGAAAGCGGGGACCUUCGGGCCUCGCACUAUUAGAGCGGCCGAUAUCGGAUUAGCUGCUGGUGGGGUAACGGCUCACCACAAGGACGAUCCGUAGCUGGUUUGAGAGGACGACCAGCCACACUGGGACUGAGACACGGCCCAGACUCCUACGGAGGCAGCAGUGGGGAAUUGACAAUGGGGAACCCCUGAUCCAGCCAUCCCGCGUAAAAGUGAUGAAGGCCUUCGGGUUGUAAAAAGCACUUUGGUGCAGGAAAGAAACGGCACGGGAUAAUACCCCGUGCAACUGACGGUACCUGCAGAAUAAGCACCGGCUAACUACGUGCCAGCAGCCGCGGUAAUACGUAGGGUGCAAGCGUUAAUCGGAAUUACUGGGCGUAAAGCGCGUGCAGGCGGUUCGGAAAGAAAGAUGAAAUCCCAGAGCUUAACUUUGGAACUGCAUUUUUAACUACCGAGCUAGAGCGUGUCAGAGGGAGGGAACGCGUGUAGCAGUGAAAUGCGUAGAUAUGCGGAGGAACACCGAUGGCGAAGGCAGCCUCCUGGGAUAACACUGACGCUCAUGCACGAAAGCGUGGGGAGCAAACAGGAUUAGAUACCCUGGUAGUUCCACGCCCUAAACGAUGUCAACUAGAAGGUUAAAUUUCGGAGCCUGGUAGCGCAGCUAACGCGUGAAGUUGACUGCCUGGGAGUACGGUCGCAAGAUUAAAACUCAAAGGAAUUGACGGGGACCCGCACAAGCGGUGGAUGAUGUGGACACCUGAUGCAACGCGAAAACCUUUACCUACCCUUGACAUGUCUGGAAUCCCGAAGAGAUUUGGGAGUGCUCGCAAGAGAACCGGAACACAGGUGCUGCAUGGCUGUCGUCAGCUCGUGUCGUGAGAUGUUGGGUUAAGUCCCGCAACGAGCGCAACCCUUGUCAUUAGUUGCUACGAAAAGUACCUAAUGAGACCGGUGACAAACCGGAGGAAGGUGGGGAUGACGUCAAGUCCUCAUGGCCCUUAUGGGUAGGGCUUCACACGUCAUACAAUGGUCGGGACAGAGGGUCGCCAACCCGCGAGGGGGAGCCAAUCCCAGAAACCCGAUCGUAGUCCGGAUCGCAGUCUGCAACUCGACUGCGUGAAGUCGGAACGCUGCAAUCGCGGAUCAGCAUGUCGUGCGGUGAAUACGUUCCCGGGUCUUGUACACACCGCCCGUCACACCAUGGAGUGGGUUUUACCAGAAGUAGCUAGCCUAACCGCGAGGGCGAUUACCACGGUAGGAUUCAUGACUGGGGUGAAGUCGUAACAAGGUAA